ACGUACACUCCUACGGGAGGCAGCAGUGGGGAAUAUUGCACAAUGGGCGCAAGCCUGAUGCAGCCAUGCCGCGUGUAUGAAGAAGGCCUUCGGGUUGUAAAGUACUUUCAGCGGGGAGGAAGGCAAUACGGUUAAUAACCGUGUUGAUUGACGUUACCCGCAGAAGAAGCACCGGCUAACUCCGUGCCAGCAGCCGCGGUAAUACGGAGGGUGCAAGCGUUAAUCGGAAUUACUGGGCGUAAAGCGCACGCAGGCGGUCUGUCAAGUCGGAUGUGAAAUCCCCGGGCUCAACCUGGGAACUGCAUUCGAAACUGGCAGGCUUGAGUCUUGUAGAGGGGGGUAGAAUUCCAGGUGUAGCGGUGAAAUGCGUAGAGAUCUGGAGGAAUACCGGUGGCGAAGGCGGCCCCCUGGACAAAGACUGACGCUCAGGUGCGAAAGCGUGGGGAGCAAACAGGAUUAGAAACCCGAGUAGUCCCAUGA
rnacentral:rRNA from 1 species